AUGGUUCAAAUGCAGAGAAUAAUUUCGCCACACCUAGUGUGUGUGUGUGUGACAAUCAUUGGCACUUUAACUGAACUUUUAAUGAUGUUAUUCAUAUUAUUCAGAUUGAAAAGCUUAAGGGGCCGCAUGUGGCCCCCGGACGUUCAUUUGCCCAGGUCUGUGCUAAGGUGAUCUCUAGAAGUGGUCCACACUCCAUGUCAGUAGGUGGCGGUAAUGCACACCAGAAGGUUGCUUGCCAACCUGCUAUAAAAACAAAAGAAGAAGAAGAAGAUCCACACUUCCGGGUGGUGAUGACGUCGCGUCGUGACGUCAUAUUUCAAAAUGGCAGAGCCCGCGGAAAGACCCCCUGGAGUCGACUCCAUUUCCCAAGAAAAGAUGUCAACAGCGCGACUUGUAACAAUUAUAAGGCCGAGGAGGGUUAUUUGAACACACACCAUUCAAUUAUUAUAAAUGAAAGUCACGUUUUUUAACCGCUCCGGUCUCGUCCCAGCGGAAGUGACGCUAGCACGUCAUCAGAAUACAACAGAUCAACACGACGAGAGAGACAUUCUGCCGCUAGACAAAGGUCACCGAGCAGCGACGAAGUUUGCAUUUUCGGUAGAGGUCCAGGGAGCCACGAGGGCGGUGCUAAAGAGACGCGGGUUGCUGACCCCCGGCCUACACCCUAGACUGGCCGCCAGUUCAUCACAGGACACAUGAACAAGCCUUCGCCCUCAAAUCAGAGAAAAACAACAACACCAGAAAUGUGUCCCGUGAAAAACCGUCCGACCAGAACUCUAAUAACUAAAGUUCCUUGGGUGAAUAAUGGUAACUCACUACACCGGUAUGUUUUAGGGCUUUCAUGGCGAGUUUACUGACUGAAAUAAGUAAUAACUUUACACUGCUUUUUAUUAGAAAUGGCAACAGCAGAGGAUGGAUGUCCCAUAACAAGAAGGUGGAGAAAAAGAAGAAGCUUAUCGACUACGGUGUCGGCACGGACUACAAAGGCGGACCUGCACAAAUUUUCAGGUACCAGAAGGUAAGAAAAGUUUCUUUUGCAUAAUAUUGCGAAACAAAACACCAGAAAAUAUGUCUUACCUUAUACACACACCAUAAUAAUACUCCUAUGUUGAAGCACAGUACAAUCCAUCAAGCGGUGCAGUUUCAUAGCUGACCAAAGUCCUACUAAAACAUUUUGAUAGAUUUUUGAGCGCCGUGUGUAAUGUUCUAUAUUUUCAAGGGAGCAUAUACAAUGUUGGUGUUGUUUACUUGAGUCAUAUUGCGGUCUACACGAAAUCAAAUCAAAUCAAUAAUGGAGCAGCAUCUCCUCAUCCGGAAACAACCACACCGGAAAUGUGUCCCGUGAAAAACCGUUCAACCGGAACUCUCUAAUAACUAAACUUCCUUGGGUGAAUAAUGUAAACUCACUACACCGGUAUGUUUUAGCGCUUUCAUGGCAAGUUUACUGACAGAUAUAAGUGAGAACUUGACACUACUUUAUAUUAGAAAUGGCAACAGCGGAGGAUGAAUGUCACAUAACAAGAAGAUAGAGAAAAAGAAGAAGCUUAUUAACUACAAAGGCGGACACACAAUUUUUCAGGACUCAUGCAGAUCCCAAAUACAGAUCAGCAGGUACCAGAAGUUAAGAAAAGUUGCAUAAUAUUGCGAAACAAAACGCCAGAUAAUGUCUUACCUUAUACACACACCAUAAUAAUAGUGGUAUGUUUAAUGCGCCGACAAUCCUUCAAGCGGUGCGGCUUCAUAGCUGACCAAAGUCGUGCUAAAACAUUUUGAUAGAUUUUUGAGCGCCGUGUCUAAUGUUCUAUAUUUUCAACGGAACAUUUAAAAUGUUGCUGUUGUUUACUUAAAACCCAUCAUAG